UGGAGGAAAGUAGGGGAUCGAAAGACCUUAUGCUUUUGGAGCGGCCGAUGUCUGAUUAGCUAGUUGGUAAGGUAAUGGCUUACCAAGGCAACGAUCAGUAGUUGGUCUGAGAGGACGACCAGCCACACUGGGACUGAGACACGGCCCAGACUCCUACGGGAGGCAGCAGUGGGGAAUUUUGGACAAUGGGCGCAAGCCUGAUCCAGCAAUGCCGCGUGAGUGAAGAAGGCCUUCGGGUUGUAAAGCUCUUUCAGUUGAGAAGAAAAGAUUGUGACUAAUAAUUGCAAUUCAUGACGGUAUCAACAGAAGAAGCACCGGCUAACUACGUGCCAGCAGCCGCGGUAAUACGUAGGGUGCGAGCGUUAAUCGGAAUUACUGGGCGUAAAGGGUGCGCAGGCGGUUCUGUAAGUCAGAUGUGAAAUCCCCGGGCUUAACCUGGGAACUGCGUUUGAAACUACAAAGCUAGG
rnacentral:rRNA from 1 species